rnacentral:misc_RNA from 1 species
AUAAAUUGAUCAGGCUAGGACCAAUCUCUGGUUCCCGGCCGGUGUUUUCUGCCUGCCAAAAGCGGGCAGCAAAACUCCAACUCAACUGUGAACUGUUUUAUGUCUCUGGCGGUGGGGUUUUGGGGGGGGAGGUCAGCCUCCGCUACUCAAAGCCUGUCAGCAUUGUGGAGGAAGCUGUCAAAAGGUUUCUGCCGCGAUGCCGUGGACAAGCCGUUAACCAUUUUCUCCAACAAACUCUUGUGUUUAGUUUUGUCUCACCUGUUUGUAUUUUUGUAUAAAUAUACUAAAAA